GGCAACAAAGUCGGAGAAUGCUACUAAUUGCAAUCAAGCUGCCUUCAACUUGUUGCUGCAACAACCUCUUCACUUCAGUGCCACAUGAGCUCCUCUCAGCUUUUCCACUUUCUGCGGGGCUGAUUUAGGAGUUCACUGGCUAAAUUAAUGGAUCAUUGAGUGCCUUGCCGCAAUACCAGCUAAAAACCUUUACGCAAGCAAACACAUUAAAGCCCAUGGAACACAAACAGAAACGGAAAAUGCCAGCGCAUGUUAGCUCGCCCAAAAAAUGAGCUUUGAGCCAAACAAACAAACAGAGCAACAAAAUCAACAAGCAGGCGACGAAGCUUCAAAAGCCGAAGGCCCCUUUUAUUACCUUUGUCAAAUGCACAAAUAGCCGAAAAUCCAAAGCCACUGCCAGGUCAACUCACCCACUCCAAACUCCUGCGAUUUCCUCGCAUUGGCACAGCUCAGCAAUUCCGGUGACAAAACAGCACAAACGGCUCAGGCAAAUUUACACAUUCUGUAGAAAAGGGUUGAAACUCAAAUGUAGCGAGGAGCCAAAUAUCCCAGCAUCUGAAGGUGCACAAUAAAAUAUUAUAUCGUAAUAAAAACCCAUCGCCCAGCCCGGCCCUAAGAUAUGAAAGAGAAAUGGCUGGCAGGUGUUGAGCUGGAGCAGGACUCCCAUGGUAGAUAGCAGAUAGAAGAUAGCAGUUAGCAGAUAGCACGAUUGAGCGAUACUUUCGCAUAAUACGAGUAUGUAUUCCUUGGGCCAGAAGCGGAGCAACUCGACAGGCGGCGCAAUAUGUAUUUAAGAUUUAUUGGAGAUUUAUGCCCGGCUUUUGCUUCGGUUAGCAGCUGCUGCCCCACCAUCCACCAUCUUAGCUCUUCCAGCUCAGCUCUAUUCCCAUUCCCAUUCAUUGCUAACAAGCAAUUUAGCCUCGCAGCGGGAAAAUCCGGUCAGAUGCGGAUGUAGUCCUUCCAAAUCCAUAAGCCAGCCGAUAAGCCCUUUAACAAGAACAACCAGACUAGCAGGCACCAAUAAUUAUUUGAAUAAAAAUUAAAUUGUGGCCCAUCAAUUAUAAAACCAAAUAUGCACUAAAAUGGAAAAAUAAAUUUAGA